rnacentral:rRNA from 1 species
AUACGUAGGUGGCAAGCGUUGUCCGGAUUUAUUGGGUUUAAAGGGUGCGUAGGCGGCCCCGUAAGUCAGUGGUGAAAUACCGCAGCUCAACUGUGGGGGUGCCAUUGAUACUGCGGGGCUUGAGUGGAGUCGGGGUGGCCGGAAUUUACGGUGUAGCGGUGAAAUGCAUAGAUACCGUAAAGAACACCGAUAGCGAAGGCAGGCCACUGGGCUCCAACUGACGCUGAGGCACGAAAGCGUGGGGAUC